GAACCUAGUCUUCCCACAGGAUGCACACCCAACAACUAUGGUUUGCAUGCCCUGCAGAAGGACUCCAUCAUGCAGGUUGUAUUUCGUUGGUCCCCAGUGGAUGUCAGUAUACCGGUAGUUAGACCAUAGACUGCUGGUUAUGUACGGUCAGUAUAUUUUUAAUAACCAUUAUCACUAUCAUAGCUGACACAGCUAGCUAAUGUCAGCCUACCUCAAUACAACUUGGAUUUGGCUUGGAGAAAAAUAACGUUUCAAAAGAAGGCAAAUACUUGGAAGGAAAACAUUUUGUCAUGAUUGUGAUGUCGCCAUAUUUAUUGACUUCAGAUGCAGAUUUGAAGGGACCGCUGUAUUUUAGCUAGCUAGCAUUGUUAGCUAUUUUUGACAAACUUUUAUAGUAACAGUAAUGAGUUGCAACCGAUCUAAAGUAAAUUUGACAUAAUUAUGACAAAGUUGUUUGCUACUAAUUAUUUGCCUACUUUAGCAAUGUCAUAUUGCCAUGCCACUCGAAAUUAGUGUAAUUUAGGCGAAACAGUCACAUUAGCCUCUGAGGUGCUACCCAUGUCAUCUAGGGCACAAAUACAUAUUGGAUGCAGUAAUGGCGAUACUAGCUAACUCAUGUCUGACUACAACAGUGUACCAACUAGCAGUAACAAACUCAAACAGUCAAUCUACAUCUGUAAAACAUAGAAGAAGCUUUCAAACGAGAUUACGUUAUUUCUCGAGCUGUGUUUAUAAUUUAGGUAGGAUGACAAUCGUUGACCCUGUUUUUCUGUUAGACAAAGUGCACAGUUGGGUGCCAGACUGAUCCCGUGGUCAUGAACGGAUGCUGGAACCUACCAGAAGGAGCAAAGCUUGUCAGGCAAGACCUCAGAAUAAGUGUGUUUCACAACAAGUACUCUUGUGACACCUCAUCCGUUGUUGCCAGUCUCCCUCAACUCUGAUGAAAAGGACACGCCAUCAUGAGGCCUCUGACCGUGACCCGAGUUACUGCCCUGACGACACAGAUGGCUUCAUCGACAGGCACUUCCAGUCAACACCACCUAAUAAGAUUGGCUGCUGCAGUUGUUUGAGAGAUGUCCUGUUUGCAGCUGAACAUGCAGCAUAGAGAAGACAAGAAAGGGGUCCCUCAUCAGCAUCAUGCAGACAUGCCCUCACAGUGAGCAUUCCUAUGAAUGGAACAGUCAGCCACAUGUUGUGGCUGAUAAGUAUCCAACCAGCAACCUUCACCUGUCAGCGGCAACAGCUUUCACGGGAUCAUCAUUUGUACAAAUACAAACACUUCAUUAUUUUGAUACAUUUGAUAACCCAAUUGUGAAACAAUUUAUGUAAACUGACAGUUGUAGCUUAUUUUCUACUUCUUAGUUGCUUAUAAUGUCCAGGGCAUAACCUAGCCUGGUUGAACCAGCCUGAUCCCUGUGUUCACCAUUCUAUUUCAUUUGAAAUGUUAUAUCUGAAGUGAAAAAGAAAAGGUGAAUGGAGCCAUCAGGAUAUUUCCACCAUGCUAAUCAUAACCACCAUUGAUAAUGUAAUCAGUACUGUGUGUGACCGACCAGUAUCUUUGAGGGGCCAGGAGCUGAUCUACGCUACUAUGUCCAUCAAUGGGGCUCUGGCAAAGACCUCACCUCCAGCCUCACAUCUUGCCUGCUCAUCAACAGUCUUUGAUGGAGAGAACAGAAUUAGGUUUAGGCUGACCUGUUCAAACUUCAACAUAGGUGAGAUCUGACACACAUCCCCCUCUUCAAAGGGGGAGACACUCUAGACCCAAACUGCUACAGACCUAUAUCUAUUCUACCCUGCCUUUCUAAGGUCUUUUAAAGCCAAGUUAACAAACAGAUUACCGACCAUUUCGAAUCUCACCGUACCUUCUCCGCUAUGCAAUCUGGUUUCAGAGCUGGUCAUGUGUGCACCUCAGCCACGCUCAAGGUCCUAAACGAUAUCAUA